UUGUUGACUAAGAGACAACGUAUGCUAGGAACUGGAAAAUCGGUGGAGAUGCCAGAAAGUCUCUGACCUCCGGGAGCUCACAUUCCAGUGGGGAGACAGAUAUAAACCUGCAAACACCAGCUUUCCUGCUCCUGGCCUCAUAGGGAGGACCCAUUUGCAGUAGAAGAUGAUGCACACAUGCAGAGAGAAACAGAGGAGAUGGGGAGUCCUGACACUGUACAAGUUUAUGGAUGGAGUCAACCCUGAGACUGAGACUGUCCCCAUCCCACUCUUCCCAGUGAGUGUCUGUCUGUCCUCCUUCCUUGAUUAAAUUAGUUUGAAUUAAGUUCUGUGGCUUGCAAAUGGAGAAUUCUGACUCUGUAAGAAGUGUUCAUGGGAUAAUAGAGGAAGAUGCAAAUGAUUCAGUUUUAUAAAGUGAGGACAGGCUUCAUAGAGGUGAAGAAUACCAAGCUUUGUCUUUAGAGAUUAGGGCUUCUGCAGCAGAAUGAAAAGGAGGGCAUUUCUAGGAGGCAGAGAACAGUGCGUUUUGGGUGAACAAUAUAGUAAUACAAUAUAGGGAGAGACAAUAGAAGAGUGUGCACAACUUAGAUCCCAAGGGUACUUCCUUGGAUGCUUUUCUGUUGAAUUUCGGUUUUGUCCUAUAAGCAAUAAGUGGGAAGUGAGUAACAGGUUUUAAGCAGAGCUAUGAUAUGGUCAGAUUAGUCUUUUAUUAUUUUAUUUUAUUUUUUUAAAUUUUUAUUUACUUUCAGUGAGAGACAGAGAGCAAGUGGAGGAGGGGCAGAGAGAGAGGUAGACACAAACCCAAGCAGGCUCUGCACUCAUAGAGCAAUGUGGGGCUCAAACUCGCAAACCGCGAGAUCAUGAUGUGAAUCGAAAUCAAGAGUCAGACGCUUAACUGACUGAGCCACCCAGGCGCCCCAGAUUAGUCUUUUAGAAAGAUAAUUGGUCACCGUGAUGGGCAGUUGGCAAAAGGGGAAAAAAAAUCAGAGAGGGUAGAUAGGAGGUUACUGCAGCAAAAUAGGUAAGAAAUGACAAUCUGAACAAGGGCUGUGCAGGGGAUGGGCCAUAGAAAGUCAGGAUGUGACCUGGAGGAGUGGGUGCCCCACUGGACAAGAGAAGGGAGGGAGAAGAGUCUGACAUAACCCUUGGCUUCUGACUGGGACGGCCAGAUGGAGGGUGGAGGCACUGAUACUAUGAAGGAAGGUCAGGUUCUAGGGGCAGGGGUGAGGGGGUGAGGAGGUGAGGGGAGACAAUAGAUUCCACUAGGCAUGACUAAUGCCCAUGGGAGAUGUCUAACAGACGUGAAGAAGUAGGAGUAUACAGCUCAGCAGUGGAGACAGAGCUGAUGACAAAAGAUCUAGAAGUCAUUGUUAGAGCAUUGGGCCAGAUGCAGCCUCCAGAAAACCCCUGGGUAAUACUGCUUUCUAAAAGACCCCUAGAUAGGUUUUGUUCUCACUGUGUUAAUUUACCUUCAAAUACAAGUUCAGUACUUACAACGGCAAGAAAUAUCAGUGUCUAUUUUAUUGGUAUGACUUACAAUAGCUGAUGUGAAACGCCAGCCAUUCUAUUUGGGGUGGGGGGAGGUGAAAGUUGCUCACUGACUUAUCUACUUGCCUAGUGCUCUAUCUUUAUUAUCUUUAUUUUCUUUAUUUUUAAUUUUUUUUGCUUCAGUUACUCUAUUCAAGUGGCCUUUCUAAGCGCACAUAUAGCACUAUGGAAAACACUCAGGCUAAUGAUUUAGGAAGCCUUGAGAGUCUGGAGCUCUAAAGAAGCUGCUUUGGGAUCAGAUAGAUGCCUUUCACCCGUUGAAAGCCUUUCACGUUUAUUGUUAAGGAUGUUUCAAUAGAUGUUGGCUUUAUCAACGUCAACAAUAGAAAUAGUUUUCUGAGUUGCUUUUGGACUUAGCCAUCUUCAAGUACUUCGUCUCUCUUUUUAUUAUUUAUUUAUUUAAUUUCUUCUUUUGUUGGGUUUUUUGUUUUUCUUUUUUUUUAGCUGUUUGUAAGCUUUUCCCAAACAAUGAUGGAGGUCAACCAAUCAACACUCCAAAUACAGUGUAGCUACUUCUUCCUUCAUUAAAAACCUGGGUUUGCAGGGAAACAAAAAUGUCUCAGGGGGAGAUAAACCGAGAGCCAAGAGACCCGGGUUCUAGUAUAAACUCUCUCUGACUUUGUGCUCUUAGAUUGUUAUCUGACCUCUGUGCUGGCUCAGUUUCUACAUCUGAAAAGGUUUACCCUCUUGUAUGGCAUAUGUGGAAGUACUUUGAGUGUUUUAAAACGUCUCUGAAAGAAUGUAAGACAACAUGCCUAUCUACAACUGAUCAAGAGUCAUCUGUAUCCAUUCACGUUUGUGCGGAUAAAAGGAGAUGAGUAAAGACAGCCCUGGGCGUGGCACAUAGUAGGUGCUCAGUAAAAUCGCACUUUUCAGUGCUUCCCUUCCAUCUUCACUCAUUCCUCACCAUUUUUGUUUCAUACCUUCCCUAAGAUGCUUUUAGUCUUUCCUUGCUAAUAUAUUUAAACUUGGUUCAGAACAACCUGCAGUUUUCAGAAGCAAGACCACAAUUAAUAUUCUAGGAUAAUUACAUCUUGUGACAAUGCUAAGCUAGGAACAGCCCUGUCACCAUGCUUUAGGAGAUAUUUAUAGUGUAUUAUUUUAGAGAACAAACUAGCUAAUAGGUCAACUGUAACAAGCAGAAAGGAGAGCGGGAGACGCAGAACCUUGAGACUGUUCUGAUUAGCGAAGCACAUAGUGGUCCCAGACAAUUGAUUACAGGGUUGGUGGUUUGAGCCUGACUUGAGCUGUUCCCCUGCUAACUUUGGAGGCAAGAGGCAGUGUCAGACUUCUGCUUUCUCUUAGGGACCUUUGGUGUGUCAGUUUUAAAAAUGUCUUUAUUCUCUCUCCAUUGACAUUACCAUUUGUGAUUCUAAUGUUAUUAUACAUUGUCUCAAGUUUUUAAAAACAGACAUGUUAAUGAUAAUAAUAAUAAUGAGGGAUGUAUGGAGUACUCUACAAUGAAUUAAUCAUCCAGAUAUUCUGAAUGGAGGUAAUUUUAUGUCACUGAUGUUGAAUACCUUUAUGCUUCAGAGAAGAAUUUAAACUGUAAGACUCAGUGGCCAGUUGACCCUGUGAAAAUACCAGCCUUGAGCCUGAGUGUCAGAUCCUUGCUUGGCUAUGCAUUGGCUUCCCAAAGUCUCCCUCCUUAACCUGCCCCCCCCCCCAACCCCACACAGUAAACAACAUCAACCAACCUCAGGCCAUACUCAGCUACAAUUGGUCAGGCCCAACUGUUUGGUCAAAUAAAGUAAAAAUAGAUCCUCUUAUAAAGAAAAGGGAUUUUACAUUUCAUCAGUUUCAAAGCAGGAAUGAAAUGCCUUCUUUAACCUAAGAAUAACAGCUAGGGAUUUGAUCCCCCGUAAGUGCAACCAGGUCAUUGGGCAUUUCCUCCUCGUCCCCAGAGAAUUUUCUGUGCUGACAGAUUCUGAACGCCUGACUGACGUCCAGCCAGGAGCAGAGGCCUCCCCGGGGCUCAGGAGAGCCUGCCUAAAGACAGUGGCCCGGACUGCCGAGGCCGCGCUAUGCCUGAGCCAGGAAGCCACAGGCUGCUGCUGAGCUGCUGUGUUCAGCCUUCUUCCCUCUCUCCCAUCCCCAGACUCUCUUUCUAGAGGUGGAGGAAAGUACCUUCAGCGAAGCCCUAGAACUUUCAGGCACUCCAUUUCCAUAUUUUCCUGAGAUGAUUCCACAGGCAAGUGGAGACCACGUCAUUGCUCCAACUCCUGCAGAAGAAGGAAACUGAAUAUGGUGCUUGUGCAAACUGAGAGCAAAAGUGUGGGAGUACUUAAACAGGACUUGGGUAGUUAUAGGAAAACAGCUAGUCAGAUAAGUCAGUAUACUUCUUUCCAUUACAUUUUAGUUAUUUACAAGUUGUGCUUCAUUUUAAAAUUUCUUUUAAUGUUUAUUUAUUUUUGAGAGGGAGAGAGAGAGGAACAGGGCCUGAGCAGGGGAGGGGGAGAGAGUGAGGGAGGCACAAUCUGAACCAGGUUCCGGGCUCUGAGCUCUCAGUACAGAGUCCAAUGCGGGGCUCAAACCCAUGCACCAUGAGAUCAUGGCCUGAGCUGAAGUGGGACGCUUAACUGACUGGGCCACCCAGGCGCCCCGGUCGUGCUUCAUUUUUAUAAACCAGUUGAACACGUCCUGUCAGUUGUAGGGAGCAGGCCUUGUCUUCAGGCCAAACAAGCCUGAAACUGUGGCUCAUUCAUAAUUUCCUGAUGUCCAAAAUUGACGUCUCUUUUUAUACUCAGAGACAAACACUAUGACUUGCACAGGAGGAUGCUUCAGUGCUUCUCUGGUCCACUCUGCGCGAAUAGUGCCUGGUACAUAGAAGCCCCGUGCCUGCUGCAUGUUGGACACACAGCAAGUGCCAGCAAUUGUAACCGUUAUUGCUGUUGAAUUUUUUAUUCUUUUUUUUCCCCUCAGCCAGUACUUUUCCUGCUCUAUAGUUUAGGAACCUCUAUUUUUUAGGAAGAAAGUUAUCUCUGAACGGUGUUUUCAUAAAUAAGUCUGGACACGGCUUAUUCAUAUUUUUCUGAUAAUCCAAAAUUCUUAUGUAUAUGUUGCAUAUACAUUUCUUUCUUUGAAAUUAUGACAUCUACCUUCAUAGAUACGCAGUGCUAGGCUUGUCAGGUAUUCUAGAACUCCCCGUGUCUAACUUCUAACAGGCACGCAGUUGAAGAUUUAGAUGUAUAUAUCCAUAAUUUUUUUUUUUUUUUGGAAAGGCAGUUAUAAUCUACUCAAAGAUGCCUGCUUUGACUAGAGAUGCACCCUACAAAAAAAUGAGUUCAUUCCUUGUUUCUGCCCUUCUUUCUAUACGCAGUUUUUGGAACACCUACAGAGUACAGCUUAUACGCCAGUCACAAUUUACAACUGAUUGGAUUUCAUCAGUAAUACCCUAUAGGCUACCCUUUAGGGACUUCCGAUGUCUUUACAGUCUCUGAAAUGGAGAGUUCUUACAAUCUCUAUGUUAAUUAGGAACAUUAAGGAAAGCAUUUCAGUAAUACUUUUUUUCCAGAUCACUGAUACUUCUAUUGUUAAAAAUAAUCAGUAAAUUUGAUUGUGAAGAUUACCUAUUUUAUGGUAGAGCUCUGGUAGCUGAACCUCCACUUUCUCUCUCUGAAAAAGAUGAUACUCAGCUUGUUCACAGACCGGUGGGAUCAUAUUGAACUGCCUUGCUACAGAAUAGGCUUCCUGGGGAGAAAUAAGAUUGCAGCUGAAUUGAUACUGAUGAGAAAUAAGGCUGCCCUGUGAUUCGUAUGCAUGAGCAAACUUCGUUUUAGUGAAAUCAAUAGAAACCAAGAAACAUGUAGGAUGCCAAAUAAUAAGCGAUGUUAUGGCCAUCAAUCUCACUAAGAGCAAUAUCAAAUGCAAGAAAUCCUUAUUCUUUGGGAGGGUCUGGACCGAGUAAAGUCCAGGGCAAAUAAGUCAAAGUGUGAAUCGUAAUAGUCCAUGAUAAAACCCAUAAUUUAAGUUCCUAAAGAAAUAACUCACACUAACAUAUAAAGAUUAGCAUGUUAUAAACAGUAUAGUCAUUCAACAUAGUUUUUAAAAAGGAAGCCAGACUAUUUUGUUCAUGUAUGUCACUAGCUGGGGAAUCCAUUGUAUCCUCUUGCCACUGAAGAACAUGACAGAAUAUGAUUCUUGUUAGAGACCUGCACCUUCACUGUUGUAUUCUGACCUGAUGAGAUCCAGCCCCAUAUCCAUCUCUGUAACGACAGAAUUGAUCAUAGCAUUCUAGUGCCAGGGUGAUUGUUAAGAACGUUUGCGAAAGGUCUUGCAAUUUACACAUUGUAUCUGAAAGAUAAUAAUAAGGUAUUUAAUGGCCGUUUAAAAACAGAAAUGAAAUUACCAUGAUCUCCAUAGCACUCCACCGGGAGGUCCCCCAGUACAUUGCCAUUCCUUGGUUUAUCACAUGUGUCAUGGCUCGAACAAUUUCUGUAGAAGCCCAAACAGCAUUUCGUUAGUUUCUCUAAUUCUCAGAGUUAUGUGAUCUUUUUUUUUUUUCUCCGCCUGCCCAAAUGUUAGAAGCUUAAUGCAAUUAUUUGUUUUAUUAAUAGAAUUACUUUGACACUGGUGACAACAUAAUAGUCUAACAUGAAAUAUUGACGGUGCGGAGGCUGCUGGUACUUUUGGAUAAUUCGACUUUCCAUUUUCGGUUUGCAGCAAUACCACUAAAUGAUAUUAAAAACAUAAUGACCACUUUAAGUUCUUCCUUUACUUUUAUUACUUCAUGGUUGCUGGCCUGAUUAAAGAACAUAUGAUUAAACCUUUCUCAAAACCUGGGUACCUUGUUCACCAAAAUAAGAAGAGGAAGCAUUUAUCUUGACUAUGUAGAAUGUAAGGUCACUGAGGAUAGAAGGCCUGUCUUUGUGUGUUGGAUUUGCAGAGCUGGGCCUCACACAGGGUGUCUGUUUAAUAGAGAUGACUCAACAACAAUGUGUUUAGCAGAAAGAUAAACAUAUUAAAUGCUGAACAAACAGCUGAGCCACAGUGGCUUCCAGCCCACAAUGGCACACCCUGUCCUUGACCACUUUGAACUAAACUUUAUUCUAAGACAUCCAUGUGAUGCGUUUCACCAGGGCCUGUUUGUGGCCCCACUGAGUUUGCUCAUCAGCUUCUUUCAGCUUGACAUCACAUUUCCUAAACGGGAGAAUGAAUCCUUUCCCCAGAGAGCUAGAGUUGAGCUAAUUCUCCUGGCACCAGCCAGAUGUGAUACAAAACCAGAGACCAUGGAGAACCUCACGCUCAAUGGCGUGGAAAAAGUCAAAGACAUUGCUGGAUUUCUUUUACAAAGCGGGUCAAAACACCUAGGAUGCCAGGUUAUUUGACAAUUUUCAAGGGGUUGCAGGCCUCAUACUUCUCUCUGUCCUACUAAUACCCAUAGGAUACAUGUCUUUCAGAAAAAGCAAAUCCUUGUCUCAAAGUUGAGUUGAAGUGGAUAUAUUCUUAUUUUAUGUGUCACAAGCAAAUUGGUAUCUAAAUGGGUAGGGGACAGGAUAUGGAGUGAAACAGCCAGGGUUAGAGACUUGGCUUUCUUGCUUGUUUGCCUUUUAAAUUGCCCUUGGUUUAUUUGUUUGGACGAUGGGAAUGCUUUUAUUCACCAUCAUCUUCUCAACAGAGGUGGAAUUUGGCUGAUAAGAAAAAUAGUUUUCUUUCUUGGAGAGAGACUCCUACGUAUCAGGUAAUAACUCAGUAAUCACCCAGCAACUAAAACUCUAAGUUCCUUCUCCCUUAUAAAGCAAAUGAGAUACAAAAAAAAAAAAAGCUACUUGAAACAUUUUCCUCUUAUUAUACAAAUGGAAAUGAGCGCUUUUGAUGAACAUUUCUAGAAGUAGAAAGCCAUCAUUUAAGUCUCUCCCCAGAAGUUUUCACUCUGCUCCGACACUUCCACAGUUGCACCGGCCCCCUUCCUUUCACAUCCUGUUUCACUCAGAGCUCAGGAGUUCAUUCCAUCAGCAGUAUUCAUUAAGUGUCUGUAGCACCGGGUGCUGGGGAUAUUGUGGUGAAUCAAUCAUGUUGGUAAAUACGGAUGAGGUUAACAGGGAAUAAAUUGAACCCAAGACACUCCCCUAUCUCUAUUCUAUAAUCAGUAAAAUGAGCAUAGGACAGUUUAAUGGCUUGGCCACAUCGUUGUCACUGAGGCUUUGACAAGAGCAGUUAAAGUCAAGUGGCGGUUGUGACUUCCUGUACCUUCAUUCACUUAUUCACCAUACACGUAUUGAAAACCUAAUUAUUUGCCAGGGACUGGGCCAGCUGCUGGGUUCAUCUGUGAGCAAAACACAUACAGAGCUCCUGGACUCAGGGAGUUUAGAGUUGAGAGGAGAAAGAAUGGGAACAUACACAAGUAAGUAAUUACAAAAUGUGAAGUGUUAUGAAGAAAACAAACAGGGGGCUGACAUAAGGAAUGAGGUCAAGGAGGGUCUCCCCAAGGAGGAAGGUGUAGGCAUCAAGAAUAAAAAAGGAGCCAGCCACGUGAAGCGCAAGGAAAGAACAUUCUAGGCAGAUGGAACAGCAUGCACAGGACAGAGCUUAGUGAGUUCUAGCAAAAAAGUAGUCUAGCCAUUGUGACAGGAGCUCACUUAGGAAGGAAGGAGGACGGGGUAGAAGAUACAGUUGGCAGAGGGCAAGCCAUGUUGUUUGUAUGUUAUUCAAAGUUUAAUGGGAAGUUAGCAUUCUCUAGGUAAGGAAAUGAGAGCAUGGAGUUUACAUUUUUGAACACUAUUUCUGCCUCUGCUAUAGGGAAUCUGUUGUGAGGGGGAGGGAUUGCAGGAAGCAGGAAGAUCUUCAGGAAGGAAUGCAGUGUUCCAGGCAGGAGAUGAGGGUGGUGGUAGUAAAGACAGCAAAACAUGGAUGGAUUCAAAAUAUAUUUUGGAGGUAGAAUCCACCAGACUUGAGGAUGGACUGAAUGUAGCAAAUGAGGGAAAGGAAGGAAUCAAGGCGAUCCCCCAGAUAUCUGGCCAUUUGCAGGGAUGAGGAAGACUGAGGGGGCAACAGGUUUAGAGAGAAAAAUUAAGGGUUCUCUUUUUUUUUCUUUUUUUUUUUUUUAAGAGAGAGAGAGAGUGAGUGGGGGAGAGGGGCAAAGAGAGAGAGGGAAUCCCAAGCAGGCUCCAUGCUGAGUGCUGAGCCUGACACGGGACUCAAUCCCACAACCCUGGGAUCAUGACCUGAGCCGAAAUCAAGAGUCAGACGCUCAACUGACCGAGCCAACCAGGCACCCCAAGAGUUCCUCUUUGGACGUGCAACAUAUGGAAAUGCCUGUGAGAUCCUAAAGGGGAAAUAUCAGGUAGAAAUCAGUGGACAAACGACAUGGUCAGCAACCUGGGCAGGAGAAGAUAUGUUUAUCAGUGAUCAGUCUGUUAGUUGUAUUUAAAUUCACAGAAGUGGAUGAGACUACAUACGGGGAGUCUGUCAAGAAAACAGAAAAGGUUCUACAAGCCAGCCCAGGAGUCAAAGGGGACACUGCAGGGUUCCAGUUUAUCAGCUGCCAGAGGAGUGGGAAGGAAGCCAGGGUAUGGGAUGUUUCAGAGUCAAGAGCAGACAGUGCUCUGAGAAGGACCUGUGCCCACAGAGUGGAACACUGUGAGCGUUCAGAUCAGAGGUCACUAAAACAGUGCCUGCUGGGUUUGGCCAAACAGUAGGGAGGUCCUUGUAGGUUAUGAGAAGAACUGUUUCAGUGUCAGUUGUCCGAUGGGACCACAGCCAGGCUGGAGCAGAUGGAAGAAAGGGGUGUGGGGAAGACAGGCUUUCGGCAUAACCUGAGUAGACUCUUUCAAGUUUGGAAGUGAAUGAAACACAGAAAUGGCUCAAUGGCUGAAGGGGUACUGAGGGUCAAAGGAGAGAUUUAUUGUGAAGAUGGGAGAUGUGAAAAAGCACACACCAGGAUUCAGGAGACAUGGUUUUGUCCCAUCACUGUCACUACCUUGGGAAUAUCCCUUGACCUUGCUGGAUCUCAGUUUCUUCAACACAGGCAAUACAGGACAUACUACAGGAAAAAGAGUAACUCUACAGAGGAGAAAUCUGGUAGACAUCAUCUUAACCACACGAUCAAAGUUAACCUCCUCAGUAACAGGGAAAAUGAACAUUAUGUACACCCUACCGCCAAUAUGAAGCACCAGAAAGGACACAACAUCACUUGUGUGGUACUGCGGCCCAAAAUGUCUUCAUCACUAGCAAACAUCUGAAAAACAUCAACUGAGGGACAUUCUACAAAAGAACUGGUUAAUACUUCCUAAACUGUCAAGAUUGAGAAAGACCAAGGAAUGGAUCCAGCUUAAAGGAGACCAAAGACCCACGAAGACGAGCUGCAAUGUGUGAUCUUAAAGUAGAAAUGGACCAGAAAGGAAUAUUAGUGAGACAAUCAGAGAGCUACAAAUAAGAUCUGCAGAUUAUGUAUUAUUAUUGUGUCAAUGCUAAUUUCUAGAUAUUAAUAAUUGUACUCUGGCUAUGUAAGAUGUUAACACUUGAAGGCAUCUGGGUGAGGGGUACGUAGGAAUCUUUUGUACCGUUUUUACUGCUUUUUAAUGUUUGAAAUUCUAUCAGUGGAUGGUUUAAAAUAGCAAAAUAAAAUAUAUUCAAUAAAUAGAAACUUUAAAAAUAGUAAGAUGUAAAAUAAAUGGAAAUUAUGUGUUCUUCUCAUCCUGCAACAGAUUAUAUAGCACAGCCUGCUUUAGAGGUUUCUGAGGAAAGAAGUCUGGCUCAGCACAGCUUGUUUGGGAGAUGGCGGGUAUCAAUCAGAUUUCUAGAGAAAGACCUGGCAUCUGGAUGUGGCUGCUGUUGCUGAUGAGGAAAAAUGGAAUGUGAGAGUGUCCUGGGGAUGUUUACCAGCAAUCUGUCCUUAGCAUCAUCCUGAAAUGUUGAACCAGAUCAGACACCAGAAUGCUUAUAGAGGUUAGGAAACCAAAAUAGGUUUUAAGUAGAGAAAAAUAAAGUUGGAUCUAUUUAACUUUAGAGCUUCACUCAUUCAAUCUUCAAACACUUGUUCACUUAUUCAUCCAAUCGUUUAUCCAUUCAUCCAUUCAUCCAUUCAUUCAUCCAUCCAUCCACACAAUAAAUAUUUAUUGAGCUCCUACUCUGUGUCUUUUGCUCUGCUAGCCUGGAUAAUAGAGUUUAUAGAACUGUGUGGUCAAAUUUAGUUCUCAGGAGCCACAUGUGGCUAUUUAACAUUUGAAAUGUGGCUGACCCAAAUUAAGACAUGCAGUAAAAGUGAAAAACACAACAGAUUUCAAAGGCUUAGUGUGAAAGAAAAAUCUCAUUAAAAAUUUUUGUAUUGAUUGCAUGUUGAAAGGAUGUUUUUACACAUCGGGUUAAAUUUUUUAAUUUUUUAAAUGUGUAUCUAUUUUUGAGAGAGAGAGUGUGAGCAGUGGAGGUGCAGAGACACAGAAUCUGAAGCAGGCUCCAGGCUCCAAGCUGUCAGCACAGAGCCCAACGUGGGGCUCAAACUCACAAACUGUAAGAUCAUGACCUGAGCUGAAGUUGGGACACUUAAACUGACUGAGCCACCCAGGUGCCCCAUGUUGGGUUAAAUUUAAAAAAUAUAUAUAUUUAUUUAUUUACUGGGGCACCUGGAUCGCUCAAUCAGCUAAGCAUCUGACUCUUGAUUUUGGCUCAGGUCAUGAUCUCAUUCAUGGUUCAUGAGAUCAGGCUCUGUGUCAGGCUCUGCACUGACAAUGUGGAACCUGCUUUGGCUUCUCUCUCUCUCUCCCUCUCUGCUCCUCCCCUGUGCACAUGCUCUCUCUCUCUCCCUCAAAUAAACAUUUUUUUAAAUUUUAUUUAUUUUUAAAAUGUAAUUUAUUGUCAAGUUUUCUAACAAACAGUGUCUACCGUAUGCUCCUGGUUUUGGGGGUAGACUCCCGUGAUUAAAUAAACAUUUUUAAAAAAUAAAAUUAAAAACACAUAUAUAUAUGUAUUUUUUAAAGAUUUUAUUUUACUAUUUUUUAAAACUAUGUAUUUAGUUUCUUUCUCUCUUUUUUAAAAUUUUAUUUUAGAGAGAGAGAGUGUGAGCAGAGGGGAGGGACAGAGGGAAAGAGACAGAAAAUCUUAAGUAGGCUCCAAGCUCAGCUCAGAACCCAGUGCGGGGCUCAGUUCCAUGAUCCUGGGGUCAUGAUCUGACCUGAAAUCAAGUCAGUCACUCAACCAACUGAGCCACCCAGCACCCCUAAAGAUUUCAUUUUAUUUUAUUUUUAUUUAUUUUAUUUUUUUUCAAUAUAUGAAAUUUAUUGUCAAAUUGGUUUCCAUACAACACCCAGUGCUCAUCCCAAAAGGUGCCCUCCUCAGUACCCAUCACCCAUUUUCCCCUCCCUCCCAACCCCAUCAACCCUCAGUUUGUUCUCAGUUUUUAAGAGUCUCUUAUGCUAAAGAUUUUAUUUUUAAGUAAUCUCUGCACCCAACAUGGGGCUUAAACUCACAACCCUGAAAUCAAGAGUCACAUGCUCUAUCAACUAAGCCAGCCAGGUGCCCCUAAAAUAUAUUUCUAUAAUUAUUCUCAUCUGUUUUUUUUUUUUUACCUUUUGAAUGUAGCUAACAGAAAAUUCAAAAUAUAUGUGUGGGUUGCAUAAUAUUUCGAUUGGACAGAGCUGCUAGUGACUAUUUGCAGAAGAUUUCUUCCUGUUCUUAUUAUGGUUUGGAGGAAAGAUUGAGAGAGUGUCUUUCUGGGAAGAUAAUAAAAUAUAAAGGCAGAAGAGAUGAUCCAUUGUGCUUAGAUGAUAUUUCUAGGUUUUAUGUCAUUAAAUUUUUGUUCUGAAAACUUUGCUUUGGAUAGGAAUUAUCUAGGAAUUGAAGAACAUGUAGAAAAUUUGGGAUGCUGCAAUACUUGCUACUUUCUGGUAUCUUCUGAGCUAUAACUGGACAUCCUAGAAACCUGAAUAUCCAUGGAUUCCUGCUUGCCUAUGGCGACACUAAAUAAAAUGGCUUAGAAGGAAGUAAAUAUUUAUGGAAUGGGUUGUUUAACGUGAUGAUACUGUGGGGACUAAGUGAAGCUAACAUUGAUCUUGCCUCUCUUAUGUAAAAAAGAUAUCCUGUGUUGUUUAUGUCUGCAUUAACCUGCUAGCAGGAAAAAAAUAAAUAAUUUGAACUGUAAUUAGGUUGGGAGUAACAUCUAAUGACUAAGGGAAUCUGUGAGAUUAACUAGUUUUGGCAAAAAGCUCUAAAUAAAAGUUAGAGCUCAAU